AACCUUUAGUUGGUUAAUGCGACAUCAACACGUCGUUGAUGAAGGCAAAACCAACGUACCAGGCUUAUUCCUGUGGAGUUAAUAUGAGCGAUAAAAUUAUUCACCUGACUGAC
rnacentral:sRNA from 1 species